AGGACGAACGCUGGCGGUGUGCUUAACACAUGCAAGUGGAGCGACGAACCAGGGCUUGCCCUGGGGCAGAGCCGCGAACGGGUGAGUAACACGUGGGUAACGUACCCCGAUGACUGGGACAACCCGAGGAAACUCGGGCUAAUACCGGAUAUGUCCGACUCUCACGAGGGAGUUGAGCAAAGGAAGCUUCGGCCUCCGCAUCGGGAGCGGCCCGCGGCCCAUUAGCUAGUUGGUGGGGUAAUGGCCUACCAAGGCUGCGAUGGGUAGCUGGUCUGAGAGGACGAUCAGCCACACUGGGACUGAGACACGGCCCAGACUCCUACGGGAGGCAGCAGUGGGGAAUUUUGCGCAAUGGACGAAAGUCUGACGCAGCAACGCCGCGUGAGGGAUGAAGGCCUUCGGGUUGUAAACCUCUUUUAUCAGGGAAGAUAAUGACGGUACCUGAUGAAUAAGUCACGGCUAACUACGUGCCAGCAGCCGC
rnacentral:rRNA from 1 species